rnacentral:rRNA from 1 species
AGUGAACGCUGGCGGUAGGCCUAACACAUGCAAGUCGAACGGCAGCACAGUAAGAGCUUGCUCUUACGGGUGGCGAGUGGCGGACGGGUGAGGAAUACAUCGGAAUCUACUUUUUCGUGGGGGAUAACGUAGGGAAACGUACGCUAAUACCGCAUACGACCUACGGGUGAAAGCAUGGGAUCUUCGGACCUUGCGCGAUUGAAUGAGCCGAUGUCGGAUUAGUUAGUUGGCGGGGUAAAGGCCCACCAAGGCGACGAUCCGUAGCUGGUCUGAGAGGAUGAUCAGCCACACUGGAACUGAGACACGGUCCAGACUCCUACGGGAGGCAGCAGUGGGGAAUAUUGGACAAUGGGCGCAAGCCUGAUCCAGCCAUACCGCGUGGGUGAAGAAGGCCUUCGGGUUGUAAAGCCCUUUUGUUGGGAAAGAAAAGCAGCAGGUUAAUACCCCGCUGUUCUGACGGUACCCAAAGAAUAAGCACCGGCUAACUUCGUG